UACAGAGGGGGCAAGCGUUGUUCGGAAUUACUGGGCGUAAAGGGCGCGUAGGUGGCCUUCUAAGUUGAACGUGAAAUCCCUGGGCUCAACCCAGGAACUGCGUCCAAGACUGGGAGGCUUGAAUCCGGGAGAGGGAUGCGGAAUUCCAGGUGUAGCGGUGAAAUGCGUAGAUAUCUGGAGGAACACCGGUGGCGAAGGCGGCAUCCUGGACCGGUAUUGACACUGAGGCACGAAAGCCAGGGGAGCAAACGGG
rnacentral:rRNA from 1 species